rnacentral:rRNA from 1 species
UGGCUCACCAAGGCGAUGACGGGUAGCGGGUCUGAGAGGAUGGUCCGUCACACUGGGACUGAGACACUGCCCAGACUCCUACGGGAGGCUGCAGUCGAGAAUCUUCCACAAUGGACGAAAGUCUGAUGGAGCGACGCUGCGUGCAGGAUGAAGGCCUUAGGGUUGUAAACUGCUGUCACGCUAUAGGAACCCGUAGUAGUUAAUACCUGCUGCGCUGACCAAAGCGAGAGGAAGUGCCGGCUAACUCCGUGCCAGCAGCCGCGGUAAUACGGAGGGCGCAAGCGUUGUUCGGAUUCACUGGGCAUAAAGAGCAUGUAGGCGGUCUGCUCAGCCGGAUGUGAAAGCCCUCGGCCCAACCGGGGAACUGCAUCCGAUACUGGUAGACUAGAGGACAGCAAGGGUGAGUGGAACUCCAGGUGGAACGGUGAAAUGUGUAGAUAUCUGGAGGAACACCGGUGGCGAAAGCGGCUCACUGGGCUGUCACUGACGCUGAGAUGCGAAAGCCAGGGGAGCGAACGGGAUUAGAUACCCCGGUAGUCCUGGCCGUAAACGAUGGGCACUAGGCAAUGGGUUUACCUAUGGAACUCCUUGCCGUAGCUA